rnacentral:miRNA from 1 species
CUUUGGCAGCCAAAAGGAGGAC